rnacentral:lncRNA from 1 species
CUAUCUUCUUCCCACUCUCCAUUUCUCUCUCCCUCUCUCUCUCAGACCUCGAAAAUCCACAACAAUGGCUGCCACUCUCUCCACACUCACAUUGGGCACUCCCUCCUACCCCGCCGCAACCUCCGCCUCCUCCUUCCCCUCCCACUCCCCCAAACCCACCCUCCAAUUCCCCUUCAACCCCCAAAACCCUACCCUCACCCACCGCGCCACCCACAUACGCCCCCUCGCCGCCGUCGGAGCCCCGGAAAAGAUCGAGAAACUCGGCACCGACAUCUCCAGCCUCACCCUCGAGGAGGCCCGCAUCCUCGUCGACUACCUCCAGGACAAGCUCGGUGUCUCCGCCGCGGCUCUUGCCCCAGCCGCCGCGGUGGCUGUGGCGCCAGGAGCGGCCGAAGGCCCCGCCGUCGUGGAGGAGAAGACGGAGUUCGAUGUCGUCAUCGAGGACGUGCCGAGCAACGCGAGAAUCGCGGUGAUUAAGGCGGUGAGG